rnacentral:lncRNA from 1 species
GCGAAUUAUAAAGAUUUUUCUAUUGUUUAUCAUACGUGUAUGUAUUCCAAAGUCCUAUAGGUACAAUGGUUUCCUUCUUAAGGAUGGUAAGUUGUGUGUACCUAAUUGUUGAAUAAGGGAAUUGCUGGUACACGAAGCACAUAGGGGUACUCAUGGGUUAUUUUGGGUUAAUAAAGACUUCAAAUAUUCUACAUAAACAUUUAUAUUGGCC